CCCUUCUUCUGUUUGCAUGGUUACUCAGGAACGGGUUCCAGCCAUUAUUGCUUCCCAGCUUUGCCAACGAACUACGGGAGAGGGAAUGCAGGCUUCUGACAUCCAGAAGACAGCUGUGAGAACCAAGGUCGCUUUGGCAGGUGUUUGCCAGAGCCAAAGACUUUUUCUCAUAACAAUACAAUGAGACUCAAUUGGACAAUGUGACCUGAUCUAAUAGGGGGAGGGAGAAUCUUACGCAGGAAUUAGCCAGCUCUGGUUUUGCCCACAUCUGUGCCGAAAAUGAUGUACCGUAUUCAGUAAAGUUUUGCAUUAAGAGAUUGGAUCACAUCCUAA